GCCCUUGUAGCUCAGCUGGUAGAGCAAUGGUUUUGUAAACCGGAGGUCGCGGGUUCGAAUCCUGCCGAGGGCACCA
rnacentral:tRNA from 1 species